GACGAACCGUGCGAACGUUGUUCGGAAUCACUGGGCUUAAAGGGCGCGUAGGUGGUCUGUCAAGUCGGGGGUGAAAUCUUUCGGCUCAACCGGAAAACUGCCUUCGAUACUGACAGGCUCGAGCGAGGUAGGGGUUGCGGGAACUACCAGUGGAGCGGUGAAAUGCGUUGAUAUUGGUAGGAACGCCGGUGGCGAAAGCGCGCAACUGGACCUCUUCUGACACUGAUGCGCGAAAGCUAGGGGAGCAAACGGG
rnacentral:rRNA from 2 species